rnacentral:rRNA from 1 species
GAUGAACGCUAGCGGCGUGCCUAAUGCAUGCAAGUCGAACGGCAACUUUGGAUUCGUCUAAGGUGAGAGUGGCGAACGGGUGAGUAACACGUUGGUGACCUACCCCAGAGAGGGGGACAACCACUGGAAACGGUGGCUAAUACCCCAGAUGUUAUUGUUUUUAGAAGACAAUAACUAAAGCUCCGGUGCUCUGGGAGGGGCCUGCGGCCCAUCAGCUAGUUGGUAGGGUAAUGGCCUACCAAGGCUAAGACGGGUAGGGGGCGUGAGAGCGUGACCCCCCACACUGGUACUGACACACGGACCAGAUACCUGCGGGUAGCAGCAGCAAGGAAUAUUGCCCAAUGGACGAAAGUCUGAGGCAGCAACGCCGCGUGGAGGACGAAGGCCUUCGGGUUGUAAACUCCUUUUCUGAGGGAAGAGAAAGGACGGUACCUCAGGAAUAAGUCUCGGCUAACUACGUG